UGGUGGAGUGAUUUGUCUGCUUAAUUGCGAUAACGAACGAGAUCUCUGCCAAUAAAUAGAUGCCGCCUCCGCGUUUUGUAGGCCAGCAGGUUCUGAGUGCUUGCACAAAGUUCUCUGUCUCGGCUGAGGAAGCGGAUCUUUACUUAUUGGGAUUAUGCAUCCUUUCAAUGCAUUGAAACUAGAGCCAAUAGCA
rnacentral:rRNA from 1 species